UACGGGGGGGGCAAGCGUUGUUCGGAAUUACUGGGCGUAAAGGGCGCGUAGGCGGCUCAUACAGUCAGGCGUGAAAUUCCUGGGCUCAACCUGGGGGCUGCGCUUGAGACGUGUGGGCUUGAGGACAGGAGAGGCUCGUGGAAUUCCCAGUGUAGAGGUGAAAUUCGUAGAUAUUGGGAAGAACACCGGUGGCGAAGGCGGCGAGCUGGCCUGUAACUGACGCUGAGGCGCGACAGCGUGGGGAGCAAACAGG
rnacentral:rRNA from 1 species